rnacentral:sRNA from 1 species
UAUUCGGAACUUUGAAGCCAAAAGUGAUUAUAGAUUACAGCGAAGGGAUGAGAAACCGUUUGGCUGUUAUAUCCAAUUUCUAGGCAACUAUUCUUCAUAUAUAACACAUCUUGGCUUUCAAAUAGCUCCUCGGCGCUUUCCCAUUGAAAAAGUUGCAUUGAGAAAACUGCUUGCACAAACAAAUGUAACAAAUUUACAGCUCUCUGAAUCACAGGAAGAAAAACUGAGAGACAAAUAUAUGAAUCCUUGGAGUGAGUGGCAGUGCGUUCCAACUUGCUCUGAACACCAGCAGAGUAGAGC